rnacentral:rRNA from 1 species
UACGGGGGGGGGCAAGCGUUGUUCGGAAUUACUGGGCGUAAAGGGCUCGUAGGCGGCCAACUAAGUCAGACGUGAAAUCCCUCGGCUUAACCGGGGAACUGCGUCUGAUACUGGAUGGCUAGAGGUUGGGAGAGGGAUGCGGAAUUCCAGGUGUAGCGGUGAAAUGCGUAGAUAUCUGGAGGAACACCGGUGGCGAAGGCGACGUCCUGGACCGGCAUUGACGCUGAGGCGCGAAAGCCAGGGGAGCAAAGCGGG